rnacentral:rRNA from 1 species
UACGGAGGGUGCGAGCGUUGUCCGGAAUCAUUGGGCGUAAAGGGCGCGUAGGUGGCGCGGCAAGCGUGCGGUGAAAAGCUCGGGGGCUCAACCCCCGAGUCGGCCGUGCGAACUGCUGGGCUUGAGCACUGUAGAGGCAGGCGGAAUUCCGGGUGUAGCGGUGGAAUGCGUAGAGAUCCGGAAGAACACCGGUGGCGAAGGCGGCCUGCUGGGCAGUAGCUGACACUGAGACGCGAAAGCGUGGGGAGCAAACAGG